rnacentral:rRNA from 1 species
AGAACGAACGCUGGCGGCAUGCCUAAUACAUGCAAGUCGAACGAACACUUCGGUGUUAGUGGCGCACGGGUGCGUAACGCGUGGGAAUCUGCCCUUGGGUUCGGAAUAACAGUUGGAAACGACUGCUAAUACCGGAUGAUGACGAAAGUCCAAAGAUUUAUCGCCCAGGGAUGAGCCCGCGUAGGAUUAGCUAGUUGGUGAGGUAAAGGCUCACCAAGGCGACGAUCCUUAGCUGGUCUGAGAGGAUGAUCAGCCACACUGGGACUGAGACACCGGCCAGACUCCGUACGGGAGCAGCGAGGUAGGGAAUAG